rnacentral:rRNA from 1 species
GACGAACGCUGGCGGCGUGCUUAACACAUGCAAGUCGAGCGGUAAGGCCCUUCGGGGUCCACGAGCGGCGAACGGGUGAGUAACACGUGAGUAAUCUGCCCAUCACUUCGGGAUAACUCCGGGAAACCGGUGCUAAUACCGAAUAUGACCACUUCAGGCAUCUGAUGGUGGUGGAAAGUUCCGGCGGUGAUGGAUGAGCUCGCGGCCUAUCAGCUUGUUGGUGGGGUAGUGGCCUACCAAGGCUUCGACGGGUAGCCGGCCUGAGAGGGUGACCGGCCACACUGGGACUGAGACACGGCCAGACUCCUACGGGAGGCAGCAGUGGGGAAUAUUGGACAAUGGGCGAAAGCCUGAUCCAGCAACGCCGCGUGAGGGAUGACGGCCUUCGGGUUGUAAACCUCUUUCAGCAGGGACGAAGCGCAAGUGACGGUACCUGCAGAAGAAGCACCGGCCAACUACGUG